rnacentral:lncRNA from 1 species
AGUAAAACUUUAGGACAUAAUUAGAUAGAGGACAAGGCCAUAUUAUACUAGAAGAAAGCCCUCUAGCAUGCUCUGCUGACUUCUGUGAGACCAGGAGAUUCAUCUUUGCCAGUCAUCUGUGACUGUCACUGGUAUGCACUCUAGAAAUAAAUCCUGAGACCUUGUUCCUGCACCUGGGUAAUCAUAUCUACUGUAGUUCCCUAACGAAAAAAGAGCUAUGUCUUUUGUGGCACCUUAACAAGUCUUGUGGUUCCCACAUAUUUCUGUAUCUGUUUUAUAUAAUUAUUGGGACUCACAGUAAAAUAAAUUUUAUACAGUAA